UGUUGAGUAGACUAAUGGUAAGUCGCUAACUUUUGGUGUUAGGUUUGGAUGUUCGAAUCAUUCCUCAGCAA